CCUACGGGGGCUGCAGUGGGGAAUAUUGGACAAUGGGCGAAAGCCUGAUCCAGCCAUGCCGCGUGUGUGAAGAAGGCCUUCGGGUUGUAAAGCACUUUCAGUGGGGAAGAAAGCCUUGGGGCUAAUACCCUCGAGGAAGGACAUCACCCACAGAAGAAGCACCGGCUAACUCCGUGCCAGCAGCCGCGGUAAUACGGAGGGUGCGAGCGUUAAUCGGAAUUACUGGGCGUAAAGCGCGCGUAGGCGGUCUGAUAAGCCGGUUGUGAAAGCCCCGGGCUCAACCUGGGAACGGCAUCCGGAACUGUCAGGCUAGAGUGCAGGAGAGGAAGGUAGAAUUCCCGGUGUAGCGGUGAAAUGCGUAGAGAUCGGGAGGAAUACCAGUGGCGAAGGCGGCCUUCUGGACCGACACUGACGCUGAGGUGCGAAAGCGUGGGUAGCAAACAGGAUUAGAUACCCCAGUAGUC
rnacentral:rRNA from 1 species